rnacentral:rRNA from 1 species
UACAGAGGGGGCAAGCGUUGUUCGGAAUUACUGGGCGUAAAGGGCGAGUAGGCGGCCUUCUAAGUCAGACGUGAAAUCCCCCGGCUUAACCUGGGAACUGCGUCUGAUACUGGGAGGCUUGAGUAUGGGAGAGGGAUGUAGAAUUCCAGGUGUAGCGGUGAAAUGCGUAGAUAUCGAGAGGAACACCAGUGGCGAAGGCGAGUCUCUGGACGACUCCUGACACUGAGGCACGAAAGCCGGGGGAGCAAACAGG